CUUAAAUUGAAGAGUUUGAUCAUGGCUCAGAUUGAACGCUGGCGGCAGGCCUAACACAUGCAAGUCGAGCGGAAACGACAACAUUGAAUCUUCGGAGGAUUUGUUGGGCGUCGAGCGGCGGACGGGUGAGUAAUGCCUAGGAAAUUGCCUUG
rnacentral:rRNA from 1 species